rnacentral:rRNA from 1 species
GAUGAACGCUAGCUACAGGCUUAACACAUGCAAGUCGAGGGGAAACGGCAUCGAAAGCUUGCUUUUGAUGGGCGUCGACCGGCGCACGGGUGAGUAACGCGUAUCCAACCUGCCCAUCACUUGGGAAUAACCUUGCGAAAGUAAGACUAAUGCCCAAUGACAUCCCACGAAGGCAUCCGAAUGGGGUUAAAGAUUUAUCGGUGAUGGAUGGGGAUGCGUCUGAUUAGCUUGUUGGCGGGGUGACGGCCCACCAAGGCAACGAUCAGUAGGGGUUCUGAGAGGAAGGUCCCCCACAUUGGAACUGAGACACGGUCCAAACUCCUACGGGAGGCAGCAGUGAGGAAUAUUGGUCAAUGGGCGAGAGCCUGAACCAGCCAAGUAGCGUGCAGGAUGACGGCCCUAUGGGUUGUAAACUGCUUUUAUAAGGGAAUAAAGUGGGUCACGUGUGACUUUUUGCAUGUACCUUAUGAAUAAGGACCGGCUAAUUCCGUG